CCCACAUGUGGCGCCAUCUCUCCUGUCCUGUGUGGAUUUGAUCGCCCUAAAGAGUGAGCUGGCAGACCGUUUUCUUCUCCACAUUUUCUCUGAAUCGGAUCAGAUACAACGAUUCAGCCAUCCUGUCUCCAUCCAACACUUCUCCCAGACUAAGGGACUUGUGGUGCACCUGAGGAGAGUGAGUUGAGCCUGAGAACAAGCAGAUGAUCAAGAUGCAGUGCAGGCUCAUCGUCCUCUGGCAGCCACCUGGCAGGUGUCCUGUUCCACACUGCAUAACCCCUGUCGCAAAAACAGACAGUUCAUCAGAACCAGAGGGACGCGGCUGUGUACACUGACAGGAGGCCUCCUAUUCCAAGAAUAAGCCUAUAUGCGUGGCAUUUAGAGCUGAUAUGCAGAGAUUGAUACCGCAGAUGUAUGUUAAUCAAACAUUUUAAGCGACAAUACUUUUCAAUGUUGUCAAUUAAAGAACACUUGGAUAGAAUUGUGAACCUCUCCAGAGUGUGUGUGUUUAAGGGUGUGUAACCUAAUGAGCUUUAUCAGUUUAUAUCAGUUAGUUUGGAGUUUUAUGAGCAUACAUUGUUCACAAAUCCUAUUCUAGGUGUGUUUGUUGUCAUUGUGUGUUUUCAACCUGCAUGUCUCUCUAUGGAGCCCUUUUGUUGCUUACCAUUUCAAAAUAAACUAGUGCCACACUUUUUCCACUUC